CCUGCUGUUCUUACAACUGCCACCUCACUACAUGAGUUUAAGGUUAAACUUAAAACCUACUUGUUUUCCUUGACUUAUAAGUGUAGUUGAUAUUGUGGUGUUUGGAGUGUUUUUAUGUCUUUGUCCUGUCUUUUCUGGUGUAAUUGAUGUUUUUAGUUUUAUUUUAUGUUAACUCUAUGGAUUAAUGUACAGCACCUUGGUCAAAAAUCUUUGUUUUUAGUGAUGCUAUAUAAAUAAAGUUGAGUUGAGUAUGCAGCAGUAGACGUGAUGUACAAUGCCAAACAUGCAACAUGACAGUGGGCACACAGUACAAGGAGUCAGACUGUCAUAUGAGGAGCAAACGUAUGUAACACAUAUGAUGUAUUUAGCUAGUGAUACCACUACCAGUCUUAAAUGUAUAACUGAUGAUGACAAAGUUUUUCCUCUGCAUAAUCAUAGGAACCCAGGCAGUAGUGUCGUUUCACAAUGUUCACCAUCAUCAUUGGAUGCCUUUGCCGUCCGUAGCCUGAGAUUUCAAAUUUGCUUCAAAAAAUGUUAUUUUCCCAUUUAUUGGAAUGCUGUACAGGUUGCAGCCAUCCAUUACAAUGUCACCAAGCCGUAACAAAAGCAGGAGAGGGAAAGUACAAGGUUAUGUUCUCAAAAAACACAAGCUACAUACUUUAUGUGGAUGAUGUUAUCAGGCUUGUGUUUGAUGAUGUAUUUGAAGAGAAGCUGAAGGAAAGCCCGAUUCCAAUGGCCCUGGCAUCACAGUUUGAGAGACCUUCAAAGGAGGACGUGAUUGCAUGCCAUCUUCAGUGUAGGGGUCAUCUGAAGCCAACAUUCUGACUAGUCUGAUCAGGAAGAAGCUCCAAGCGUAUCUGGAGAACAACACACGACAGGAUGAUAACCCUACUGUAUAGUUUCGCCUUAGAUAGCACCAGCUGACAAAGCUUUGAUAUGCCAUUUAUCUGUAUAGAUAGC